GCCAACGUAGCUCAGUCGGUUAGAGCGGGCGUUUCAUACGCGCCAGGUCGCUGGUUCGAUUCCAGCCGUUGGCACCA
rnacentral:tRNA from 1 species